GGCAUUUACAUAUAUAGAUGAUAUUUUACCUGCUUACUGUUUCUCUCCCAGCUAUGCCUUCCAUGAAGGAAACAGAGACCAGGUUGAUUUGACCUACCACUGAAUCCCUUGUGCUGAGAACUGCACUGGGCACAGAGUACAAGUUUCAUUUCUCAGGCCAGUGCACCUGCAUACUCCCUUUGAUCCUGAACAAAGUGAUGGAGGAGGUGAUUCAGCUGUGGACAAUGUAUACUGUACCCAGCAAGCAAGUAGAACUGUUAAGCAUGACCAGGCCGACCCCACCAGGAGCCAAGCCGUCAUCUCGUUGCCUGACAACCAAGAGCAAUGGCUGACGUCUGCUGACGUCUAGGACUGCAUGCAAUUGCAUUCUGUUCCCAACCUCACCCCAGCCCAUUUGCCUAUAUAAUCCUGUCCCCUGCACCUUACUGUAAGACAGCUUUUGGAUGCUCUAA